GGGGCGUCGCGGCUAGGGUCGCUCGCCUCCGGCACACCCAAGGCCAGCCCAAGGUUGUGGCUGACCCGCUCCCUGUGAGGUGAUGGCACGGUGGAACUGCAGCGCGUGCAGCCGGUGGCUAAGAUUCCGCGGGAGGUCGCGCCGUCACAGUGGAAGAUGCGAACUCGAUGCAAACUCAACAGGCAAAGGCGCAAGAACAUACCUACGGACGAUGAAGUGGCAGGAGCUCCGUCCAUGCUGAAGAACACCGUAGAUGUUGAUCCACAGAGAGGACAAUUUCCUAUCAAUCUUGAUCUAUUCUCCUUUGAUCCGGGGGCAACAACAAUGGAAUAGAUUGGUAUGAGAAAGGAUGGAUGAAGCCACGAAGAGAUUUUGGCGGCAAUCCGGUCUUGCCGCCGGCGACGGACCUGAACGGUGAAUUUCUCGGUCGGAAUCCUCCCUCACAGUGGAAUGAGUGGCUGUGGAAGAGGGAGUGGCAGCAGCGGUACGCCGGGAUAAGGCAAAGAAAAACUGGUUUCAGUAAAUUAAGAAAAGAAAAACGUUUUAUUAAAUGGUGGGGUCCUACCAGGACAGGUGUCGGCCACCCGUUGGCCCUGCACGAUAAUGCGUGCUGGGAACCCUGCAGGAGAGCCCGACCCGAGUCGUGGCCUGCAUGUGCGGGAGAAGCUGGUCGAGUGGAGCGGCCGUAGCUGAGUCGUGUGUGUGUGCGCCUGUGUGAGCCAGCGGGUAUAAAGACCCUCCUCAUGUACUGAUCAAAGUGCGCCGGUAUGAGCCGAGCCUAGGACCAGAGAUGAGGUAGUCUCCACCGGGGCCGUGGUGUGCGCCCGGUCGGCUGUGAGAAAGAGCUCCUCUGGAUAGGCUGCGGUGUGUUGCCAUGCCCGGGUAUAUGCCCAGUAAAGUGAGGUCGUUCGUGCGGCCGAGGCGCCGUUCAUGCGGCGGAGGCGUUUAUGCGCCGGAAAAAUUGUGUGCUCCAUCUUCCACCUUCUUUUAUGUGAGUGAGAGAAAAAGAGCUAUCUGGGUUUGUCCCAACACCGCCUGCCGGGCCUUGGGGCGCGAGAGGAUGGCGCGGAGGAGAUCAUCCGGCAGCGCGCUCAGCGGCUCAGGCGGUCAUCGCCCGCAUCCCCGCCGCCGCCGUCGUCUGCGUGGCAUGGACGCUUCGGCUCGGUGGCGACAAGCAUUUCUGUUGUUCUAGAUUGGCGCGCGCAGUACGCAGCAGACAACUAAUCUGCUGCUGGGUGUAGCUGCGCCGCCGCCGCCAUGGCUUCAGAGAAAGAUGGGAUCGGGGGGAUUCGGAAGUGAGGAGAAAGACCGGGAGAAAGCCCUUGGACUGUACUCUAUAUAUGCAUAGAACGGGCCCUUUCUAUCU